GCAGGAUUUGCCAAAGGACGUAGUCUCAUCCCUUCGAAGGAUAGGAGAUCUCAAUAUCACCAGGAUGUGAUUUUUUUCCACAACAGAGGUGUUGGCCAUUUCUGGAAAGCUCUCACUAUGAGUCAGUCAUGUACUGCUUUUCCAUUUUCUCAGAAGAACUCUGUAAAUACACUUGAGGCAAUGGAAAGCCAUCUGGAGGCAGAGGUUGAAAGAUGGGUUAUGACUGCUUCGUUCAGUGAUGCAGACCUCUGAAAACAGGGUAAUAAACGGACUCUGCAAUGCUAAAGCAAGAUUUUGUCAGAAUUAAUCCACUCCUUACUUAUAAACGUCAGCAAUUUUAUGGGAUAUAUUUUAUGAACACAAGUUUCAGUCAGGCUUCAGUUAGGCUCUGAUCAACCAUUUGAGUUACUCCACCACUCAGUUUCUAAGUGCAGCUGAGCCAUUUGCACACCCUCAGAUGAGAACUUCAUCUUCAAUAACGCAAAUAUCUGUGGUCCCACCAAGGUAACUAAUGUCUCAUCUAGUCUAAGAAAUGCAUGUAUGCUCUAACCUAUUCAG
rnacentral:lncRNA from 1 species